UACGUAGGGGGCAAGCGUUGUCCGGAUUUAUUGGGCGUAAAGAGCGUGUAGGCGGUUUGUAGGUCCGCUGUGAAAACUCGAGGCUCAACCUCGAGACGCCGGUGGAAACCAUCAGAGCUAGAGUCCGGAAGAGGAGAGUGGAAUUCCUGGUGUAGCGGUGAAAUGCGCAGAUAUCAGGAAGAACACCCGUGGCUAAGGCGGCUCUCUAGUACGGUACUGACGCUGAGACGCGAAAGCGUGGGGAGCGAACAGGAUUAGAACCUACC
rnacentral:rRNA from 1 species